CCAAUAGCGUAUAUUAAAGUUGUUGCAGUUAAAAAGCUCGUAGUUGAAUUUCGGAGUUUGUCGGUUGGUCGGGCUUCAUUGUCCGCACUGACCUGAUGGAUUCCUACCUUCUGAAUAACCAGCAUGCUAUUAAGUUAGUGCGUUGGGGAAGCAGAGCUAUUACCUUGAAAAAAUUAGAGUGCUUAAAGCAGGCUUAUGCUUGAAUAGAUUAGCAUGGAAUAAUAAAAUAGGACGGCAUGGUUCUAUUUUGUUGGUUUCUAGGAUCACCGUAAUGAUUAAUAGGGAUAGUUGGGGGCAUUAGUAUUCAAUUGUCAGAGGUGAAAUUCUUGGAUUUAUUGAAGACUAACUUCUGCGAAAGCAUUUGCCAAGGAUGUUUUCAUUAAUCAAGAACGAAAGUUAGGGGAUCGAAGACGAUCAGAUACCGUCGUAGUCUUAACCAUAAACUAUGCCGACUAGGGAUCGGACGAUGUUAAUUUUUUAAUGACUCGUUCGGCGCCUUACG
rnacentral:misc_RNA from 1 species